rnacentral:rRNA from 1 species
AGAGUUUGAUCCUGGCUCAGAACGAACGCUGGCGGCAGGCCUAACACAUGCAAGUCGAGCGAGACCUUCGGGUCUAGCGGCGGACGGGUGAGUAACGCGUGGGAAUAUGCCCUUCUCUACGGAAUAGCCCUGGGAAACUGGGAGUAAUACCGUAUACGCCCUAAGGGGGAAAGAUUUAUCGGAGAAGGAUUAGCCCGCGUUGGAUUAGGUAGUUGGUGGGGUAAUGGCCUACCAAGCCUACGAUCCAUAGCUGGUUUGAGAGGAUGAUCAGCCACACUGGGACUGAGACACGGCCCAGACUCCUACGGGAGGCAGCAGUGGGGAAUCUUAGACAAUGGGGGCAACCCUGAUCUAGCCAUGCCGCGUGAGUGAUGAAGGCCUUAGGGUUGUAAAGC